ACAAAGGCUCCAUAGCUGAGUCCACCUUAUUAGUAGCAAUCUUCAGCAGUACAGGAGAGCAGGCAAAACAUAUAACACACACAUUAUAAACAUCCUGUACCUAUAAUGAGCACAUAUCUCCCUCAAAGGUAGACUAACCAGGUACCAGACCUCUAAUCAGUCUGUGUCUGAGUUAGUCUGGCAACCCUCCCCAAAAGUCCGGCCAACCUUGU